GGGAUCCCGUGGAACAUCCUGAGGCUCCAGGGGUCACAGCAGAGACCUGAGGAGCAGAACCAGCACCAACUCAGGGGCACCCGACGCCGUGCGAAGAGCUUCCCGCUCUCGGGCGAGACAGACGAGAAACAGCAAUAAACCCAGGGCGGAGGAAGCUGUGGCGGCCGCCCU